GGGGGGUAAUAUGAAGCAUCCUGGCCAAAAAAAAUUGUAUGGUAUAUGGCCUAUAAUAUCUAGCCGUGAACACACCACUUACCUUCCCUCCCCAACGAGGUCACUAACCCUUGGUUCUGUGAUAUUUAGUGGACUGUGUGAUGGAUCAACCCCUAGAUUAAGAUUGAUUGGCUUGUUAUAAUGGCUUUCCUGUGUCUUGUUGCUACUAAUCUCAGAUUCAGUAUAUGUUUUAGUAUCAGAGUUUAUAUCCUUGAGAUCCCAAUCACUCAAGUAGCUUGGCUUUGCUGUAACAGGACUCACUUCAAUGUCUCCAGCAAGCAUUGCCACAACUCUUGACAUUGUUGGCCGCGUUAUUGGUGAUGCCUGAGUACAUAAGAGAGCGACUCCUAUAACUCGAAGAGCUUCAUCUUCAUCAAAACCCAUCAAACUUGGAUCCACCAAUGCCAAACUUUGGUUAUUUUCAUACAGAGUCCAUGCCCAUCCAAGAAGAUAUAUCCUAUUCUCAACCAAAUUGUGUUCACAGUUUGGCAUUCCGCUGAGGAUCUCUAAAGCAAGAACACCAAAGCUGAAAACAUCAGCUUUUUCUGUUAGAUGUCCACGCAUUGCAUACUCCGGUGCCAAAUAGCCAAUGGUUCCUGCGACUCGAGUGCUUAUGUGGCUUUUCUUGUCAUCAUACAACUUUGCUAAUCCAAAAUCAGAUAUCUUGGGGCAAAGUUCUGCAUCAAGCAAAAUGUUACUUGCUUUCACAUCUCUGUGUACAAUCCUUGGCCUUGACUCCUCAUGGAGGUAAGCUAGCCCUCUAGCAGUUCCUAAGCAUACAUUAAAGCGUGUUGGCCAGUCGAGAUGCAAGCUAGUUUUUCCAAAUAUUGCUUGAUCAACACUCUUGUUUUCAAGAUAUUCAUAAACCAAGAGCCGUCUAUUUCCUUCAAUGCAGCAUCCAUGCAGUUUCACAAGAUUGCGAUGUUGAACUGCAGAUAUGAUAGCAAUCUCAGCUAUGAAUUCAUUCUUCCCCUGGUUAGAUGCUAGGGAGAGUUGCUUCACAGCUACUUCCCUUCCAUCAGAAAGUGUACCCUUGUAUACCGGUCCAUAUCCCCCCUCUCCUAGUUGAUUUGAGGGACUAAAAUCUUUUGUGGCCAUUCUCAACUCUGCGUAAGUAAAUGUAUAAGGUCUAUGGCCUAUUCCAGAAAGCACUUCCUCAUCUAACUUGCUUUGUCUUCUCCUGAUGUAAAGAAAUACAAAUAUCAGUACAAAGCUCAUGAUUCCAGCAGACACAGAAAUACCAAUAAUCAAACCCGGCCUGCUCUUCUUCUUUGGAAUAUCUGGCGGUAUUCCACUAACAGUUGGUCUAAAACCUGAAACAACACUUAGUGCUGAAAUGAUUGGUCCAUAA
rnacentral:misc_RNA from 1 species